rnacentral:rRNA from 1 species
UACGGGGGGGGCAAGCGUUGUUCGGAAUUACUGGGCGUAAAGGGCUCGUAGGCGGCCAACUAAGUCAGACGUGAAAUCCCUCGGCUUAACCGGGGAACUGCGUCUGAUACUGGAUGGCUAGAGUUUGGGAGAGGGAUGCGGAAUUCCAGGUGUAGCGGUGAAAUGCGUAGAUAUCUGGAGGAACACCGGUGGCGAAGGCGGCAUCCUGGACCAAUACUGACGCUGAGGAGCGAAAGCCAGGGGAGCAAACGGG